CGAUCCCAUGACACUGGGAUCAUGACCUGAGCCAAAAUCAAGAGUUGGACACGCAACUGACUGAGUCAUCCAGGCACCCCCUGAGUGUAUUUUCUGAACCACUGUGACUAUGCCCUCAAAUUUCCUAUGGGCAUAAACAAAUUUAUUUUUAUGACAAUGACAUGUCCAAAUAGAGACCAAGAUAUGGUGAAAUUGGGGGGGGGGGGGGCAGAGAGAAAUUAGAGUGAGGAAACAAUAUCAUAUUAUAAUCAUUAUUAUUAUCAGCUUACACAAUGGCUGCACAUACUUGAUUUCAUUUAGAGAGAUAGCUGUUGAUACAUGUUCCCAAAAUGGUCUUAAGUGGAGGCCAGUGUGCACUCAUGCAUUCUCGGUAAGCAACGUGGGAUAGGUUGAAGUUGAUACUGUGAAAUUUAACUUUAUGUAGAAAUAUAGUAUCUAAAUUUUAAUUCUUAGUUAUGGCCUCUAAAUCAAGUUACUAUUUAAAAUCUGUUUUCUUUUGCCAUGAAAUGAGAUUAUAGUACCAAUAAACUGAUUUUUAUUUGUAGAUGACAAGGCAUUUGUUAAGGUUUGUGUCAGACACUAUAGAAUUCAGCAAUUUCAGAUUUUCCCAAGACUUCUGGAAGUGAUAAGAACCAUUAGGGUUGAAAAUCUGCCACCUCAUGUUGAUAAAAUUACAUAACAAUUUUCUUGGAAAACCCCACAAAUGGAGGAGAAGGAGUAACCAAUGCACAGCUUUUCCCAGAGAAGAGUUCAGCCCUGGUUGAGUUUUCUGACUACCAAGUGGUGGACACCUACUUGGCCAAAAAGCUUGUCUUCAAUGAAAGGCCCAUUACUGUGUUUCCAUAUUAUGUGACUUCGGGCGUAGCCUUAUAUGGAAAGGAGAAGCCCCUGAGAAAGUUGCUAGCACCAUUUUGGGUGGCUCUGCAUCCUCUCAUAUGGAAGAUCAUGCAGAAGAAGCAUCUCCUGAUUGGAAUGAUAAAUUAUAAAAGGGGAAGGUGACACUCUGAGGUAACAUGGCACCAAGUCAACUGUAAGAGGCUAGAGGUAACAUUCAGGUCUGCGACCAAUGAACUCACUCAAAGAAGAACAAAGAUCAAUGUCAUCAAGACUUGGAAAGGACAUUUCUAAAAACUUCUGCCAUAUCAUCUUUAAAUAUAAAGUCACCGAGUUGAAUAUGAAACCAGCAGUAUGGGAAGACAUAAAAAAACAGCAUAGACGAUGAUAGGACUUCAAUUGAGUCUGAUAUAGUCAAGGAGGUGGUCAUAAUAACAGGUUGUUUGGAGGAUGUGAAAAGAAUUUAACACAAGACACCAGUCAUAACAUUGAAAAGGAAAAAAACAAAAUUUGAUAGAGAAUGUGGCUGGUUCUUCUGAAAGGUUUUCUAGUCUUCAUAUCAGUGCUUUGAAACAGUCUAUACCUGAGGAAUUCUCAGGGUGGGAGAUCGAGGUCAUUUUUUUGUUUGUUUGUUUCAAGUUUUUAUUUAAAUUCUAGUUAGUUAACAGAAUGUAAUGUUGGUUUCAGGAGUAGAAUUAGGCAAUUCAUCACUUACAUAUAACAUCUAUUGCUAAUCACAACAAGGGCCCUUCUUAAUACCCAUUAUCCCACCGCUCACCAGGGUGGGAGGUCAUUGAUAAUGCUUGCAGCAAACAUACCACAGUACAUGCAGGAGAGUAUAAAAAAUGAAAUUCUUGAGCAAGUGAAGAGGACUGUUCAAGCCCAUUUCCAGUCCUUCUGGAGUUUCCUAUUUGUUAUAGAAAGUAGAGUGUGGAAAAUUCUCUAAGAUUAUUUUAAG